CCUACGGGCGGCAGCAGUGGGGAAUAUUGGACAAUGGGGGGAACCCUGAUCCAGCCAUGCCGCGUGUGUGAAGAAGGCCCUCGGGUUGUAAAGCACUUUCAGUGAGGAAGAACGCCUGGUGGUUAAUACCCAUCAGGAAAGACAUCACUCACAGAAGAAGCACCGGCUAACUCCGUGCCAGCAGCCGCGGUAAUACGGAGGGUGCGAGCGUUAAUCGGAAUUACUGGGCGUAAAGCGCGCGUAGGUGGCUUGAUAAGCCGGUUGUGAAAGCCCCGGGCUCAACCUGGGAACGGCAUCCGGAACUAUCAAGCUAGAGUGCAGGAGAGGAAGGUAGAAUUCCCGGUGUAGCGGUGAAAUGCGUAGAGAUCGGGAGGAAUACCAGUGGCGAAGGCGGCCUUCUGGACUGACACUGACACUGAGGUGCGAAAGCGUGGGUAGCAAACAGGAUUAGAUACCCUAGUAGUC
rnacentral:rRNA from 1 species